UACGUAGGGGGCGAGCGUUGUCCGGAUUCAUUGGGCGUAAAGAGCUCGUAGGCGGCUUGGCAAGUCGGAUGUGAAAACUCCAGGCUCAACCUGGAGCCGCCAUUCGAUACUGCUAUGGCUAGAGUCCGGUAGGGGAGUGUGGAAUUCCCGGUGUAGCGGUGAAAUGCGCAGAUAUCGGGAGGAACACCGAUGGCGAAGGCAGCACGUCUGGGCCGGUACUGACGCUGAGGGGCGAAAGCGUGGGGAGCAAAGCAGG
rnacentral:rRNA from 1 species